rnacentral:rRNA from 1 species
CACAAGCGGUGGAGCAUGUGGUUUAAUUCGAAGCAACGCGAAGAACCUUACCAGGUCUUGACAUCCUAUGAAAUUUCCAGAGAUGGAGUGUUCCCUUUGGGGGCACAGAGACACAGGUGGCACAGGGUUGUUCUCAUCGUGUGUUGAGAGAUUGGGGUAAAUGUCGUAAAGAGAGCACACCCUUUCAUUUUUUUCCACCACAUUAAGGUGGGCACUCUAAGGAGACUGCCGGUGACAAACCGGAGGAAGGUGGGGAUGACGUCAAAUCAUCAUGCCCCUUAUGACCUGGGCUACACACGUGCUACAAUGGUUGGUACAAAGGGUUGCCAAGCCGCGAGGUCGAGCCAAUCCCAUAAAACCGUUCUUAGUUCGGAUUGCAGGCCGCAACUGGCGGGGGGGAAGUCGGAAUCGC